GGAACUGUGUGUUCAGGGGGCCGGUUAGAGCGUGGUGCUGGUAACACCAAGGUCACGGGUUCGAUCCCCGUUCGGUCCU
rnacentral:tRNA from 1 species